AGGGGUUUAGGUUAAUACCAAACCAAGAGCCUUCAAAGCCCUAAAUGAGAGUGAAAAUCUCCCAGCCCCUG
rnacentral:tRNA from 1 species